rnacentral:rRNA from 1 species
AAAUUGAAGAGUUUGAUCAUGGCUCAGAUUGAACGCUGGCGGCAGGCCUAACACAUGCAAGUCGAACGGUAACAGGAAACAGCUUGCUGUUUCGCUGACGAGUGGCGGACGGGUGAGUAAUGUCUGGGAAACUGCCUGAUGGAGGGGGAUAACUACUGGAAACGGUAGCUAAUACCGCAUAACGUCGCAAGACCAAAGAGGGGGACCUUCGGGCCUCUUGCCAUCGGAUGUGCCCAGAUGGGAUUAGCUUGUUGGUGGGGUAACGGCUCACCAAGGCGACGAUCCCUAGCUGGUCUGAGAGGAUGACCAGCCACACUGGAACUGAGACACGGUCCAGACU